rnacentral:misc_RNA from 1 species
UCUCCGUAGGUGAACCUGCGGAGGGAUCAUUACAGAGUUCUCGCCCUCGCGGGUAGAUCUCCCACCCACUAUUAUCGUUACUGUCGUUUCUUCGGCGGGCCGCCGGGUCCCCGCCCGCCCGCGUCCACUAUUCGGACCCGGCCCGCCAGAGGCAUUCGCACCCCGAAUGUUUAUGUCGUCCGAGUACGAAUUUAUAGGUACAACUAUCAACGAAGGACCCCUUGGAUCUGGCAUCCAUGAAGAACGACGCCAAUCGCAGGAGCACACGUCUGAACCCAG